UUGGCUAAUUACACGAUUCUGGAAUUGGAUUUUGAAAUUUACUCUUAAUGUAGUAGUGGAACUCCAUUUCGGUCUCUUCAAUUUUGAAAUUCAAAUCCUUUCUCUGUGAAUCUUGGCCAAUUUAUACACUUCUGGGAUCUGGGUUUUUAAAUUUUGCUUGUGGAAGGUUGAAGUUUAGAUGAUCUUGGAACCUUGUGUGUCAAAAAUAGAAAUUAUUUGCAGGAAGAGCAGGUGAAAAUGAGGGAUAAGAUAAGCAAAUUCACCUUGGCCUCUAGUUAUAUGCUGCGUUUUACUCAAAUGAAGUGAGAAUUUAUUCUACUCUGUUUCGGAAAGCGUGGGAACUUUUUCGACUUGAUUUUGUUUUGUUUAUGGGUAAAAAGGGGGGAUGGGCUGGAUAAAAAGGGGAUGAAUCUCAAGUUCGAAACCCCUUGCCAGCGAAAGCAAGGGGUUUGCCUUCUGGGUCGAGCUCGUCGCACCAGGCUUGCCUAGUGCGGGUUACCUCUCCUAUGUGGUUUGCGAGCUAUUGCAUAGGAGCGGGGGUUUUACCCUGUGCGCACCCAAAGGGUAGCGGCUGCGGGGUUCCUUUGUCAUAAAAAAAAAAAAAAAGAAAAAAAAAAAAGGGGAUGAAUUGGGUAAAAUCAAAGGGGAUUCAGUUUGGGGUUUAAUUGUGUUUGAACUGCGAGACAGUUGGGUUGAACCGGGUUUAGUAGGGACUAAUGGUGGGUUAGUCAAGGGAAUAAAUACCCCACUUUCGUCACAGCGAGGGCUUAAAACUGCCAUUUUACUAAUGGAGGGCAAACGUGCUUGUCGAAUAGCGGGAC
rnacentral:lncRNA from 1 species